rnacentral:rRNA from 1 species
AUUGAACGCUGGCGGCAUGCCUUACACAUGCAAGUCGAACGGCAGCACGGGAGCAAUCCUGGUGGCGAGUGGCGAACGGGUGAGUAAUACAUCGGAACGUGCCCAAUCGUGGGGGAUAACGCAGCGAAAGCUGUGCUAAUACCGCAUACGAUCUACGGAUGAAAGCAGGGGAUCGCAAGACCUUGCGCGAAUGGAGCGGCCGAUGGCAGAUUAGGUAGUUGGUGAGGUAAAGGCUCACCAAGCCGUCGAUCUGUCGCUGGUCUGAUAGGACGACCAGCCACACUGGUACUGAGACACGGCCCAGACUCCUACGGGAGGCAGCUGUGGGUUAUUUUUUGGACAAUGGGCGAAC